rnacentral:rRNA from 1 species
UACGGAGGGUGCAAGCGUUAUCCGGAUUUACUGGGUUUAAAGGGUGCGUAGGUGGGUAGGUAAGUCAGUGGUGAAAUCUCCGAGCUUAACUUGGAAACUGCCAUUGAUACUAUAGAUCUUGAAUACCGUGGAGGUCAGCGGAAUAUGUCAUGUAGCGGUGAAAUGCUUAGAUAUGACAUAGAACACCAAUUGCGAAGGCAGCCGGCUACACGAAUAUUGACACUGAUGCACGAAAGCGUGGGGAUCAAACAGG